AGGGGUUAGGGGUUAGGGGUUAGGGUUAGGGUUAGGGUUAGGGUAGGGUUAGGGUUAGGGUUAGGGUUAGGGUAGGGUUAGGGUUAGGGUUAGGGGUUAGGGUUAGGGUUAGGGUUAGGGUUACGGUUUGGGGUUGGGGUUAGGGUUAGGGUUAGGGUUAGGGGUAGGGUUAGGGUUAGGGUUAGGGUUAGGGUUAGGGUUAGGGUUAGGGUUAGGGUUAGGGUUAGGGUUAGGGUUAGGGUUAGGGGUUGGGUUGGGGUAGGGGUUUGGGUUAGGGGUUAGGGUUAGGGUUGGGGUAGGGUUAGGGUUAGGGUUAGGGUUAGGGUUAAGGUUAGGGUUAGGGUUAGGGUUAGGGUUAGGGUUAGGGUUAGGGUUAGGGUUAGGGUUAGGGUUAGGGUUAGGGU
rnacentral:lncRNA from 1 species